rnacentral:rRNA from 1 species
AGUGAACGCUGGCGGCGUGCUUAACACAUGCAAGUCGAACGAGGACGGGCUAUAGCUUGCUAUAGUUGUCAGCUAAGUGGCGCACGGGUGAGUAAUGUAUAGGUAAUAUGCCUCUUACUAAGGGAUAACAAAUGGAAACGUUUGCUAAUACCUUAUACUCCUUAUUAACAGAAGUUAAUAAGGGAAAGAUUUAUUGGUAAGAGAUUAGCCUGUAUUGUAUCAGUUAGUUGGUGGGGUAAUGGCUUACCAAGACUAUGACACAUAACUGGUUUGAGAGGAUGAUCAGUCACACUGGAACUGAGACACGGUCCAGACUCCUACGGGAGGCAGCAGUGGGGAAUAUUGCACAAUGGACGAAAGUCUGAUGCAGCAACGCCGCGUGAGUGAAGAAGGUCUUCGGAUUGUAAAGCUCUUUUGCCAGGGACGAUAAUGACGGUACCUGGAGAAUAAGCCCCGGCAAACUUCGUGCCAGCAGCCGCGGUAA